CUUUGAGAAUAUAUAAAAAGAUGAUGAGAGCUGAUAUGAUUAACCACAGACACGCAGACAGCGAGACCCUCGAAACAUCGGUCUGUUGACAAAAAUGGGGAUUGUCUUUGUUCUUUACCUUUUGGUUUCAGUGGAACUCAUCUCAGCUUCAAUUUGUCCAGAGAAAGGAGACCUCAUUAAAGUGAAACGGAUGCUGUAUACGCACUGGGCCGUGUAUGUUGGCAAUGGUUCUGCCAUUCACACAACUGGAAUUCUCGAAGAGCUGUCAGAAAGAUAUCUGCAGUCACUGUCACCAAAGGAUGUUCCAAGUGAGCAAGGAUUUCAUGAAUUCCUGUCACUGACCAGGAGAAACAGCACAGCAGGAGACUCUGAAGACUCGGGUUCCUCUGAGGCCCAACGAGAGUAUCACAUAACGAAAGAAAAGUUUCAAACGAUACUCGCUGCAGAUACUUUUGCAGUUGCCAACAGUCAGUAUGAUAACCGAGAGUUGCCGGGCUUCAAUUUCAAACCUUUUUCAAAAAGUAAAAUUUUGGAACGCCUCAAUCGGUUUGUUGGCAAGAUCUACCCGUACUCGCUCCUCUAUCUGAACUGUGAGCAUUUUUGCACGUUUGUUCGCUAUGGCACCGCAAUCUCUGACCAGGCAGAACGUUUUCUGCUAUCUUUGAGAAAAAAGAAACGCAUUUCUGUGGCAACAAAGAAAUUAGAAGAUCUGAUGAAUGCUUAAACCUAAACUUUUGGCUUUGGCAAGAGUGGCCCAGCGACUUUCUAAAUUAUGAAAAGUCUGGAAAUAAUGACGAAGUAAAAGUCAGGAGUCAAAGACAAGGUGGAUGAUGAGGUGGAAGCCAACGUAACACGUGAACGAUUCAAAGGAUGUUGCCAGCUUUGUUCAAAGUUUCCAAGUUGUAGGGUGCACUGCUGUUUGACUAAAAUUCGCUUGUUUUUACAGCUAAUACAUUUCAUUGAAGCAAAGACGAUAAAGGUGUGUGUGUGUUUCAUGUGUGUAAUUUGGCUUUUGUGUGAAGCCCGGUUU